rnacentral:misc_RNA from 1 species
GUGAGUCAUCGAAUCUUUGAACGCACAUUGCGCCCGCCAGUAUUCUGGCGGGCAUGCCUGUCCGAGCGUCAUUUCAACCCUCGGGCCCCCCCCUCUGCGGGCGGCCCGGCGUUGGGGCUCAGGCGCCGUCUCUGCUCGGCGCCUGUCCCCUAAAUGCAGUGGCGGCCUCGCCGCUGCCUCCUCCGCGUAGUAGCACAAACCUCGCGGCUGGAAGGCGGCGCGGCCACGCCGUAAAACCCCCAACUUUACCAAGGUUGACCUCGGAUCAGGUAGGAAUACCCGCUGAACUUAAGCAUAUCA